UGUUGGUAAGGGCAAACUUAUUGAAAAAUAAGGGCGCAAAGCUAUGGAUCUAAGGGAAUAUUAUAUUCCUAUGAUUGCCAGGUUGCCGAA
rfam:Alkaliphilus metalliredigens QYMF, complete genome.